CUGGGAUUAAAGGGGUGAGCCACUGUACCUGGCAACACCUUUAAAAAUUUCUUCACCCACCUAUCCACCUUUAAAGUUGUUCUUUGAGGGCUUUCAGGAAUGAGGUUAAUCCAAAUAGGAUAAGGCAGUUUUGUUCCCAGGAAGUAUUUAACACACUGGUUCUCAACUUUCCUACACAUUAGAAUCACCUCGGGGAGGUUUGUGAAAAUGCAGAUUGCUGGUCUCCACUCCCAUCCAAUUCAGUAGGUCCGAGCUGAAGUCUGAGAAUUUGCAAUUGUAACAACCUCCCAGAUGACACUGCUGGUCUGGGAAAUCACACUUUGAAAACCACUGAACAAAUUGUCAAAAAAUAAUUGCUGACAGUCAGUAAUGUAAUAAAUCCAUUAGCCCCCUCCAGCCAAGGAGGGAAGACUGGGUAAAGAAGCCAUAGACGGUGGCAGUGACCGGGGUCAAAAGAUGUUGCCACUAUGGGGUUGUUCCUAGGUAUCUAUGGAGUAGCAUACCAAAAAGGCCAGAAUUUUCUGUUGGGUAUUGCUGCUCAUCUAGAAAACACCAGCUACCAAUAGAUGUCCUCUCUGUGCCGAAAUACUGCUUACCUCAGGGGAUAUUGGCUUGCUUGCUUCCUUUUCUGCCACCGCCCUCCCCCACACCCCCCACCAUGCAAAUCCCCCUGGGAAAGAAGAAAGUUGGACAGGAACAAGAUAGGUUAGACACUUACAAAUCAACUCAUCAACAAGUCACAGAAGGCAUAAUUUUAAUUCUGAAAGAGAAUAUAAAUCCUAUGAGCCCUGGCAAUGUCCACAUUGAAAUUUAUGACAAUAGUUUGGGAGGUGGAAGCAGAGAAAGAGACCUGAUGGGCGUGUGGGAACCCUACUAUUAAAUAGCACAGAGGGAAGAGGAACUGUUUUAAGGUGAAAGACUACAGAAUAAAGUUUUGAGAAUAUUA